AGCAAGUUCAUGUUUACUGUUUAACUACCUAUUGCUUGCUUCCUAAAGAAAGCCUAACAACAGAACUGUGCCCUACUUCCAACCCAGUUAUAUUAGUAAAGAUACAGAUGCCAGAAGGUGUGAGAUAGUCAAAAUGUGGCUAUGCAAAAUUCAGCUCACCUGAAAUCUCUCUUAACAACAUUUGGUGAGAUUAGAUAGAUUGAGAACUCCUUGAGUGAGUUUUUGCCUUUUCAUGCUUGUAUUCUGGGUCUUUAACAUGAUGUCUGCCACAUAGCACUAAAUGGCUGGGAAAUUAGGGGCCCCUCUCUGACCUCUCCUUCUACCAUGCUGUCCAUCAUUCUUUACAGAUGCCCCCCAAUACACAGCCUUCUUUAAAUUUCUUAAACAUGCCAAGCUCAUUCUGAGCUCAGGUCCUUUGCACUUCUGUUCCCUCUGUCUGGAGCACUCUUUGCCCUGUGUUCAUGGGACUGGAUCCGUUUAGGAUUCAUAUCUCAGCUCACACAUCAUCUUCUUUUAGAGGCCUUCUCUGACCACUCAAUCUAGAGGAGGUACUGUUCAUUUCUAUCCCUACUUUACUAUCCAUGACCCGUACUGAUUCCUUGAAUUACUUGUUCAUGUAUUUAUCUUUUACUUUGUUACCACUUCCUCUGCUCAAACAGAAUUUCCUUGAGGAGAAGGCCCUUAUCAGUCUCAUGCCCUGUAUCUCCAGGAUUAAGACAGUCCUGGCACCUACAAGACCCUCACUCAAUAAAAAUUGGUUUAAUAAAUAUAAGUAGCAAUAGAGCUUUUGACUAUAUGUCAGCCGCUCUGCUUAAAGCUUUACACUUACCUUAUAUCCUCCUCAAGAACUACUAUGAGGGAAUAGUUAUUAUUUUCUCAACAUUACACAAGUGGUUGAUGCUUAAGCCAGAAAUCAGAGCUAGAGCUACCUGAUACUUAAGCCCUUUUUAUUUUUUAGCCCUUUGUUUUGCGGUGCUUUUUGAGAAAAUGGAUGAACACUAUGAUAAAACAAGACGGAAAGAAUUUUUCAAUCUUAAACUUCUUUCCAUGUAGCCAAAGACAUAGUCAAUAUAGUACCAUUCAAUUAUUCAUUCAUUCAUUUAAGAAAUAUGUCCUAAGCAUGUUUUCCACUUAACACACUGUACUAGAUGAAUUCCCAGACAAAGGGGCUCACAAGUAACGAUUAACUCUCUUUCUUCAUUUAUUAGUUCAACAAAUAGGUAACGACUAGCACCUACUAGUCAACUAUUAAACCUACUGGUUUAAUAUAUGUUCCAAUGAGUCUGUCUUCUUCCAAAUUGUUGUGAUUGCCAGUCCCUCAGUGCCUGCCUCUCCACCUCCCCAUUACCUAUCUUUCUUGGUUCUUCUCUAUUGUAAGAGCUUCCUCUGUAUGGCAAAAAAUACUGCCAUAAUUGGCUCCAAGAUUGUUUCAUCCCAGCCCAGUAAUGAUAAAUCAAAGAAGAGCCUCUAUCUCUUUCUCUUUCCAAAAACUGUAAACCCCAGAAAAGACUUUGAUUGCCUUGGGCUUGGAUCAUGUUACUUCUCUUGACUGUGGUCAGAGGAGCACUGUAUUCAGAAAAGCCAGGUUUGGAUCCUCUGCCUCUCUCUGUGGUCAAGAACCCCAGCAGAGGAGCAGAUGUCCAGAGGAAAGAAAUGAUGCAGCAUAGAUGAGACAAUAGAUGUUCCCCAUCUUGACUCACCCACUGCCCAUCAGAUCCUUAGGAACAGGAAUAUUAUCUGUUCUAUUCACCACUAUGUUCCCCAUGCUGAAGACUAUUCUUAGGACAUAUUAACUCCUCAGAAAAUGCCUACUGUAUUUAUAGGAUGACUUAAGAGAAUAUUUUAUCAUCUAAAAAAAAUAAAACAACAUGAUACUGUCAAGGACUGUUGAUCUAGGGGGUAGAAACACUAGUAUUUAGACCAUACCAGGCUUCCCUGAUGGUUAAAUGCUAUUACAUUGUGAAAGGGCUUUAAAAAGUAUUAAACAACAUACAAAUACGAGGCAUUUAAUUGUUAAUAGUCAGCCAGGAAAUGAAUGCUCAGCAGAAUUGUCUAAAUAGGCUCUUAAAGGGGUAUGGCAAAAAGUGGGACUUUGCAAAGAAAGUUUCAAAUGGCAAGAUAUACUUAGGCAGCAAAAGACAAUUUUCUAAAAUGAUGGGUUUGAGGAGAGUGAAUCAGCAAUGAAUGUCAGUGUAAAACAUUAUUUAGGAAGUCUGGGCAUACUUCUGAUUAAAGAUAUUUUCCAGAGUGACUCCAGCAGAAUUAAUAGAUCGCUAGGCUCCAAUCUAUUCACUUAGCUCUCCUAGCUAACCACAAUGGGAGCCAGGCACAUGCCUCCCAUCAAAGCAUGAUAUAUGAAUGUUCAGUACUUUAGGUCUCAUUAUUUUAGGCUAUGUGUCACUGUCCUAGAAAAAGACAAGUGGAAACGAAGCCAGGAGUUCCCAUAGUGGCUCAUCGGAAAUGAAUCUGGCUAGCAUCCAUGAGGACACAGGUUCAAUUCCUGGCCUUGCUUAGUGGGUUAAAGAUCCAGCAUAGAUGUGAGCUGUGGUAUAGGUCGCAGACAUAGCUUGGAUCCUGCAUUGAUGUGGCUGUGGUGUAGGCCGGCAGCUGCAGCUCCAAUUCAACCCAUAGCCUGGGAACCUCCAUGUGCCAUGGGUGCAGCCCUAAAAAGAAAAAAAAGAAAGGAAUAAGAGAGCAGGAAGUUCCCACUGUGACACAGUGGGUUUAUGAUCCAGCUUGUCUCUGUGGAGGCACUGGUUGGAUCCCUGGCCCACUGCAGUGGGUUAAGGAUCUAGUGUUGCUGCAUCUGUGGCCUAGGUCAGAGUUGCAGCUCAGAUUCGAUCCCUGGCCUAGGAACUUCCAUAUGUCACGGGUGUGG
rnacentral:lncRNA from 1 species